rnacentral:rRNA from 1 species
UACGGAGGGUGCGAGCGUUAUCCGGAAUUACUGGGUUUAAAGGGUGCGUAGGCGGCUUGGUAAGUCAGGAGUGAAAGUUUGCGGCUCAACCGUAAAAUUGCUUUUGAUACUGCCAGGCUAGAAUCAGGAUGAGGUCAGCGGAAUGUGGCAUGUAGCGGUGAAAUGCAUAGAUAUGCCAUAGAACACCUAUUGCGAAGGCAGCUUACUACACGAUCAUUGACACUGAGGCACGAAAGCGUGGGGAGCAAACAGG